CAGGCAUCCAACCAGAGAACAAAGAACAAGAGACCCCAGCAGGAAGCCGACUAGGCUCUAAACCUGCCAAGAUCACCCCGUUUAGAUACGAUGACAGACAGAUCUUUCAGCCAGUCCCAAAUCCCAAAACAGGAUCCCGCUUGCUGCACAUCCUAAAUGGACUUUUUGUUGGAACAGUAGCUGUUGUAGGAGCUGCUUUGGCAAGAACUCAAAGAGCAAGCAGGGGACAGUGCUGCCAUCGACUGAAUGCUGUUAUGCCUGAAAACACAAUGAGGCCUAUUGAGAGACCCAUGAAGAAAUAUCCCACGCCCACAGAGUCAAGAAGACACACAGGCCCAUCCAGCACAAGAACAAAAGGCAGUGCUUACACUGUAGUAAAAAUCAACAACAAAGGAAUCAACAUACCUGUGCAGAAUUGGAAACAUACUCAUGAUUUUUUUUUCUUAUUCAUUCUCUAAACAAUGUUUUUUGCAAGAUUCAUCCAGUUCAAUUUCAGAAAAUGCUAAAAACCAAAUUAGAAACUUAGUCCAACGGGCUGCGAAAAAUUAUUUGCUGCCUCAUAGAUUUGUUUUGUUUUUGUUCUAAAUGAAAAGUUUAAGUUUAUAAAAUAGAUUUAAUAUAAAAAGCUUGCAAGAGCAUGUUGCAAUUAAUGUUUCGGUGAUCUGAGCACAUUUCGAGUUCUGUGCCAGGGGCUUCCCUGGACCCGCCGAGGAAGGCAGAGCCAGCAGAGAAAUUAGAAGCAGACAUAGAGGCCUCAACAGGUCCAACACGGCAAACAGCACUGCAGAACAUUCAGGGUUACUCGCUGCAAGUUGUCUAACAAGCCUGUAGAACGGAUCGAUUCUUUUACAUGACUGUUAAAGUCUGCAUUCAGCCUCUGUCUGUUCAUGUUAUCCCAAACAUUAGAGGCUCCUGUUGAUUGCUGACAAUUAUUUACUCUCACACCUUUCAGAAUAGGACAUAAAUCUGUAUUCAAACAACUAAUUAAUUAAGUUAUUUUAAAAUCAGGACAAUUAUGUCACACUUUUCUGUACUUAACUGUACAGGUGCAUCACAUAACAAAGUAGCAAGUCCUAGUUUAUGCCUUAAUGCCUGGAAAGGUCUUUGU